GGCAUUCAGACUUUAUCCCCUGAGUCACAGGGAACCAGACAGGACUUUGGAGCAAGGGAGUGGCAUGAUCAGAACUGCUCUUGAAACGCCCUUCUGGUGAGGACGUGAGAAAGGGGAGCCGCAGCUGGGAGGCAGACAUGUUUGGUCGAGUCGAUAGAACUUUUGGGAUGGAUCAUUUCCUAUUGGAAAGAGAAUGACAGUAGUGAGUCGCUGAAUGAAUAGCUUCUGCCCUGUCUUCAGAGGACUGCUGGGCCACACAGUCAGCCUUCUACAACAGAGCUGUCUUUGCAGGUGCUUUGGCAUCUAGCCAGGAAAAUUGCUCCCAUGCGAUAUAUCCACGUGUUCUUGGUUUUAUGGCUAAGAAGCUUCGGUGCAUCGAUGUGGAAAAACACUGAUUCAAGGAAGAAAAGAGCAUGUGUGUAUCUUGGAGUUGGUGGUACAGGAUGGUUUUGGGAAAAAUUAUCUUGAUCUGCAACUAAUGAGUUUUAAGACUGACCAAACUUUUCAGUGUGCGAUUGGUUGACUUGUUUGUUGAGUCGGGGGAGUGAAUCUUAACGUCACUCACAACACUGAAAUCUUACUGUGGAUUGAA